CUAACAAGGAUUCCCCCAGUAACGGCGAGUGAAGCGGGACCAGCUCAAAUUUGAAAUCUCCGAUGCCUGCAUCGGCGAGUUGUAGUUGCGAGAAGCACUUUCUAGGUGGAUCGGUCGUGCCUAAGUUGCUUGGAACAGCACGUCGCAGAGGGUGACAACCCCGUCUGUGGCGCGGCCGGCCGCUGACGAUGUGCUUUCGAAGAGUCGGGUUGUUUGGGAAUGCAGCCCAAAAUGGGUGGUAAACUCCAUCUAAAGCUAAAUACUGGCGUGAGACCGAUAGCGAACAAGUACCGUGAGGGAAAGAUGAAAAGAACUUUGAAAAGAGAGUUAAAAAGUACGUGAAACCGUUAAAAGGGAAACGAAUGGACUCAGCAAUGCACCGUUUGAGAUUCAGCCGGUGGGUGGAAUCGGCCCGGGGUUUGCGGAUCCGAACGGACCGUGGUCUCGGGCUCGUUUUUCCCCGCCGUCGCACUUCUCUUGGGUGCACGUCAACGUCGGUUGGGACUGGGUCUGAAAGUUGCCGGGAAGGUAGGUCUGGCAGCCCGGUCUCUCAUGGCUCAGGCCCGACCGAGGAGUCGCAGCGCAUGCCUCUUGUGGCUAGGGUCCCGUCCUUCCGGCCGGUUGUCGAAUGCGGUGGACUGCUUGCAGUGCUCCGCGACUGCUGCCGGUCGUUGGGGUGGUGAUCUCGUACCAUGCGCUUGGGAUGUUGGCGGUCAUAUGGGUCC
rnacentral:rRNA from 1 species